rnacentral:rRNA from 1 species
AUUGAACGCUGGCGGCAGGCCUAACACAUGCAAGUCGAGCGAGCGGCGGACGGGGGAGGAAUGUAUGGGAAAUGCCCGAUAGAGAGGGAUAAGUACGGGAAACGGUAGCUAAUACCGCAUAAUAUCGGAUUCGACAUAUGGGAUUAGCUAAUAGGUGGGGUAAUGGCUCACCUAGGCGACGAUCCCGAGCUGGUCUGAGAGGGUGAUCAGCCACACUGGGACUGAGACACGGCCCAGACUCCUACGGAGGCAGCAGUGGGGAAUAUUGCACAAUGGGCGCAAGCCUGAUGCAGCCAUGCCGCGUGUAUGAAGAAGGCCCUAGGGUUGUAAAGUACUUUCAGUCGGGAGGCGUUACCGACAGAAGAAGCACCGGCUAACUCCGUGCCAGCAGCCGCGGUAAUAC